GUGUUCCCUAAAAGGAGAGACAGUUUGCAUCGGCAUGGGAACAACUUUUGAGCUUACUUGUUACCACACUUCCGGUUAAGGCUACCUACUUCAGUGGAUCUUAAUACCCAAAUUUUAA